CAAUCCGUGUGGUCAAUUUAUGAUAUUUUUCACACAUAUAUAUAUAUAUUAGACCUGUUCACUUUGAAACUUUUUUUCUCCGAUUCUCCGUGACACAUCAAAUUAUCAAUCCACAUGCAAAAUCAAGUCUUCAGUCCAAAAUUGAGCCAAAUUGAUAAAGAUUUAAAGGUGUAUCAAAUCGAUUUUGUGUUUUUUUAACCGUUUUCACAGAAAUUUGCUCAUAAAUCCAAAAAAUUGCUCCGAAAAGGUGCCGAAAAUACCGUUAGGAUAUAGUUAGUACAAUACUCUACAACUUUGCCGAAGAUGCUAUGGUGUUUAAAUUGCUUAUUUCGAAGUUAUUCAAAAAUUUUAGUUGAAAAAUCACGAAAAAACACGAUAUUUUUACGAUUUUACGUAUAAAAGUCAUGUAAUUUUACAUUAUUUUACGUGACUAAACUGCCCCCACUCGCAUAACUGUCCCAUUUGACUUUUCAUCACUUUUGAGUUAACGUUAUGAAUAGUCAAUUUUCGAUGUACUUCCAAAAUCAAUAAUAAAAAAUAUGAUUUUUUAUGUCAAUAUGUGAAAAAAAUACCAAGUCAUGAGCGUCCCAUUUCAAAAGUACCCGCAUAACAGUCCCAUCAUGGAUUUUUGUGUUACGUAACACAAAACUGAACAACUUUGUAGUGAUUGUAAUAUUUUUUACAGUUAUAUAUUCAUGUGCAAAGCAAUCUGUGAAAGUUUCGAGAUGAUCGAAAUAUUCUUCAAAUUUUGGCGAUUUUUCAAAGUUUUAUAUGGAAACAAGUUUUCAAACUUCAAAUGCUGUUUUCUCAAUUCCUACUUUUUGCAAAUGGGACUGUUAUGCGAGUGGGGGCACUACAGGGGAUAGACAAAAUGAUCGGGACAGGCAAAAUUUUCACUUUCCAAAAAAUGUUCAACUAGCUGUAACUUUUCGAAAAGUGCAUCAAAUAUUCUCAAAUUUUUACUGUGAGUUCUUCAACUAGUUGUGUAUCAGUGGACAAAGUUUGGAAAAGAUCGAACAAUUCUUCACGAAGUUAUAAAGAUUUUUGAAAAAGAUAAAAUUAUCCGAUAGCCAACUUUGAGCUGUUAUAUCUCCGGAUUCAAUGAACCGAUUGCAAUGAAAUUUUGACCAUGCAUGCCUUAUAUAAUGAACUCUGGAAAACAUUUGACCUAACUUGAAAUUUUUAACAAGCGAAAAAGUUAUAGCGAUUUUAUUUUUUUCACGUUUUUUUAGUAAAUUGGUCUAUUUUUAAUAUGCAUCCCAUUACUUUUUCAAUUUAUUGGCGGCUAUGUUGUUACUUUCCUUCAAAAUGCAUUUAUAUAUAAGAAAAUUAGAGGGAAACUAAAUGAACUAUAACUUGCAUCUUGAAUUUUGAAACGAUGUUGAUGUUUUGGAUAAUUUGGUGUUUUAUUAGAAAAAUAAUUUAAUCGUUAUAAUUUUCUUCCGUGUUAAGAAUAUUAAGUUAGGUCAAUGGUUUUUCAUAGCUCAUUAUAUAAGUCAUAAAUGGUCAAAAUUUCAUUGCAUUCGGUUAAUUGGGUCCAGAGAUAUAACAGCUCAAAGUUGGCAAUCGAAUAAUUUUACCUUUUUCAAAAUUCUUUAAAACUUUGUGAAGAAUUGUCCGAUCUUUUCCAAAUUUUGUCCACUGAUACACAACUAGUUGAAGAACUUACAGUAAAAAUUUGAGAAUAUUUGAUGCACUUUUCGAAAAGUUACAGCUAAUUGAACAUUUUUUGAAAAGUGAAAAUUUUGCCUGUCCCGAUCAUUUUGUCUAUCCCCUGUAUAUUGGACGCUCUCCUUAUCGACUCACCGUUUUGCAGCCCUGAAUAUUCUUCUAGAAGAAAAUUCAUACAUAAAUUCCACUAAGAAUUCCAACAGGAGUUUUGCCGAUGUUUUUUGCGCGAAUUCCACUAAAAUUCAAACGGGAGUUCCACUAGUACUUCCACCAGGAUUUCCUCUAAGAGUACCAAAGAAAAUUCCCGCAGGAGUUCUUCCAGGAAAUUCAACGAGAAAUUCUCAAUAAAUUUUGCCGGUAAUUCCAUUAGUUAUAAUCGAAAGAGGAAGUUACAGCAGAAAUUCUUGUAGGAGUUCCACCACAAAUUUUUGCUUGAGUAUCACCGCAAAUUCCCACUGGGUCCCAUCAAGAAAUCCUCUGGUAAUUCCAACGAAAAUUCCUCUAAAAGUAUCAUCGGAAAUUUCUUUCGAAGUUCCACCGGAAAUUCUUCCGCCAGCAAUUUCUUUUUGGAAGUUCCAAUGGGAAUUGUUCUUGAAGCAUUCCACCGGAUGUGUCGCUGAGAGUUCCGUUAGGAAUUCCGCUAGGAUUUCCAAAGAGAAUUUUCACCAGUUCCACCAAGUAUUUCUCAUAUUUCUCCAGAUAUUCCUCUAGGAGUUUCGAAGGAAAUUUCUCCAAGAAUUCUUGAAAUGAUUUCUUCUAGUUUACCUCAGGAAAUUCUCUAGGCGUUGCCGUGAAUUCCUUUAGGAGUUCGACCGGAAAUUCCUUAAGCAGUUUCACCAGGAAUUCCAUUUGAAGUUCCAAAUAGAAUUUCUUUAACAGUUCCACCAAUUGUUUCUCUAAAAGUUCGACUGGAAAAUAUUGGAUGAGCUCCGCAAGGAAUUUGACCAGUAAUUACUUCGGGAGUUCCACCCUAAAUUCCCGCAGGAGCCCCAUCGGGAGUUCCUCUACAUAUAAGUUUAACCAAAUAUUGUUCUAGAAAAGGGGUUCUCAAACUUUUCUAGCUUGCCACCCACAUUUGCUUGUAAAGAAUUUGGCAACCCACCAGUACGGAUUUUUAAAGCAUUCUGGACUGUAUGGUCAACUGUUCUGAUUUCGGUGAAAGUUUAAAUUACCAUAGUUCUGCGAAAUUGUACUGAAGAAACUAAAACGAAUAAACAGUAGAAAUAAGCAAAUGUUUGGGUUUGCUGCUUUUUACUAUUCUGAACUUUCUAAAAUUCUUGCUGCAGAACUUGGCACUAAUUUUUGCGUGUAAAUCUAUCUGAAAAUACAAACUGCAAGCAACAAGUUGAAGUCAUCCAUUGCAGUACAUAUGAAAAAACAUAUCUAAAUUUUUAACAGAAUCAUGUUCCUGCUGAUUGUGAACUUAUUCGAAACGAUUCUGGAGUUAAUCGAUUUCAGAGCGCAGGUAGUAGCGUCGAUAUGCAAUACAAUUCGGACUAAAACUCAUGUUAUAAAAGUUUAACAGCAUUAAGGAAAAUCCCCAUUUUUAGAAAUAAUUCUGCUGAUUUUCCAAGAGAAUAGAUAGUUAUAAAUUAGCCAGCAUCCAUAAUUUACGUAACUCUAAAAUCUUAAUUAUCUGACCCGCUCACCGUAAUGCAUUCUUGUGUGAAAAUCCUAAACAUUUUGCAUGGGCCGUAACGCUCGCCCAUAUUCCCACCUCUCCCUAGAACGUUACGUAAUUUGUGAAUGACGCCAUAGGAACUUGAUCGGGACUACCGUGAAUUUCUGUUUAAGUUCUAGAUGGAGUUUCAACAGGAAUUCUUCUAGUAGUUCUUCCGGAAAUUCCUGUAAGAGUUCCACCAGAAAUUCCCCUAGCAGUUCAUUCGGUAAUUUUUACAGAGUUGUUUCGACAAUUUCUCUAGAUGCUCAAUCGCGAAUUCUUUCAGAAGUACCACCGCAAAUUCCCACAGUAGUGCCUAGCGUUUCUCUAUGAGAUCUACCGCAAAUUAUUGUAGUACAAAGUAGUUACAAAGUAGUUACAGUAGUUACAGUAGUUACAGAGUAGUUACAAAGGAAACUUUCCUGAAAGUUUCAUCAGGCGUUCCUCUCGAAAUUGCACAAAAUUUAGCUCUUCCCGGGAGUUGUACUGGGACCAAGUGAUUUAUCGGCAAUUUCAGGAGUACCACUAGAAAUUCCUCUUGGAGGUAUACUCUAAUCUAAUUUCUCUAAGAGUUCCACCGUAGAUUCAUUUAGAAGUUGAAAUAACUCUGGGAACUGCACACAACAGUCUUCUCGGAGUUUCCUUGUGAACCUGUAGUACCCAAGUAACCAGUAAGCAUUUAAAAUAGCAUUCCUUCAGCAUUAUAGUAGCCUUUACGACAAUGAGCAUGAGCAUGAGCAUAGAUGACCGCACAAUUCGUAGUUGCUACUCCGUGAUUGACCAGAGCAAUCGAAAUUGCACAAGGAACCAAUGAAUAGGGCUUGGGACUAGCUUACUAUUCUCAAUGUACACAGGUCGAGAGCUCUCAACUUUAAUAAGGUCAAUAACGGCGCCGGCCACGUCCUUACGGUCAUCGAGGAUGGGAGGGAAUGUUAGUAAGACAAACGUUGUUAAAAAGACCGCGAAUCGCUGCAUCUCCACGUUUGUCUCAGGAAGGAAUUUUUUGUUAGUAGGGUAAGGUACAUUGUCAGUUCGGGAGUCACCUAUGGUUGGUGAUAUGAUUUGACAAUGGAUCAAUAUACACAAACCGCCGUUAACAACCGACCACUUUUCGACGCAAAAACUAGCCAAAAGGAAAAUUAUAUCGCGCGUCUCCACUCCACUAGGGAGCAGAGACCUUUAGUCUAUUCCACACAGAAAUACACUGAACGCGACUCACUUGUCGGCGCCCGGAUUUUUUUCUCGACCGGCGAGCCCGAACUAUCAUUUUUCACUCUUUUGUGUUAAUGCAAAAAAAAAAAAUAUUAUCCACUAAAAAUGUAUUGGGAAGUAGCGCCGACGGAAAGCGAAAAAUUCGGAACCGACUCGAGCCACGACGCGUCCACCGCACACUUCGUCCCGUCGUCGGAGACCCGCAGAGAAGAAAAAAUCGCAAAAAUCUAGCAAAGCCAGCGCGCGAAGCUUUGCUGCUGCCGAACUACCGCACACUACUGACAGCUUGGCGUCCCGUCGUCGGAGACCCGCCGAGAGAAGAAAAAAAAAUCGCAAAAAUCUAGCAAAUCCAGAGCGCGAAGCUUUGCUGCUGCCGAACUACCGCACACUACUCCGUCGGAGCCCCGCAGAGGGAAGAGGAAAAAAAUCGCAAAAAUCUAGCAAAGCGAGCGAGCGAAACUUUGCUGCUGCCGAACUACCGCACACUACUGACUGCUUGGUGUCCCGUCGUCGGAGCCCCGCAGAGAAAAUAAAAUCGCAAAAAUCUAGCUAAGCGAGCGCGCGAAACUUUGCUUCUGCCGAACUACCGCACACUACUGACUCGCAUUAUAGUAGCCUUUACGACAAGGCGAUUAAUGCUGAUUAGCCGUAUAUGCACCUAUAGUGCUACCUCACAGCAGGAUUUGGCAAAAUAACGGGCUGUCUUAGUGCUACCCCUUCAGGAACGUCGUGACGAAAUGUCAAAGAAGCGUAACGCCUCGUCGAGCAAAAAAAAAACAAAAAUAGAUUGACGUCUGCUUCUCGUUCUCUCAGCCUGCUUCCCC